UGUGACAUCACAAUGCUCCAAUGUGACAUCACCAUGCUCAUUGUGCAAACACAGUGCUGAAAUGUGUAAUGUUGAUGUUCACUAUGCCAUCACAAUG
rnacentral:miRNA from 1 species